CUUUGCAAUCGCGGGAGCUCGGAGCACCGGGCUGAGAGGGCGCUGAACUCCGUACGGGACGGCCGGCCGACGCCGGGACGCCGACACGGGAACCGCUGCGUCGACCGCCGAACCUGUUACCGGGUAAUGCCGGCGUAGGGAGUGGGUCUUCAUGACUC
rnacentral:ncRNA from 1 species